UGCUUCUGUGCCCUGCAAGCUGAAGAGAGAGAGAGAAAUUUCGCUCUCCUGCAAGUCGUCGAGUGAAUUGGAAGCCAAAGGAGGAGACAGAAAGAGACAAUGGCUGGAAUCUCUCUCAACCCUGCCUUCAGCGCACGGACUCCGCAAGCAUCUGCAAUCUCUACACCCAUUCCUCGCCUCCACACCCUUCCAAAUGCCAUUUCUCUGCGCCUCUCAACCGGAUCUCACACUGGGAAUAGAAUUUCAAGCAUCUGGAAGAGUAGAAGAGGGAUUGGUGCCCCUCGAGUGGGGCAGAUCGAGCCGGAAGAGGAGAAAUGGGGAGAGGGCAGCGGCGGCACAGCCGUGGCCGAGAAGGCGGAGCAGGUGACGACCGAAGUUCAGAAGCUGAAGAAAGAAUUGGUGGAGGCGUUUUACGGUACGGAGAGGGGUUUGAAGGCCAGCAGCGAAACAAGAGCCGAGAUCGUGGAGCUGAUUACUCAAUUGGAGGCCUUGAAUCCCACCCCUGCUCCCACUGAGGCCCUCCCUCUUCUCAAUGGAAAGUGGAUCUUGGCGUACACAACUUUCUCGGAAAUGUUUCCCCUGUUUGCCAUGGGCACGCUUCCGCUAGUGAAAGUUCAAGAGAUAUCGCAGACCAUCGACUCCGAAAACUUCACUGUGGAGAACACGGUGCUGUUUUCGGGCCCUCUUGCCACCACUUCCUUCACCACCAACGCCAAGUUCGCCGUUCGCAGUCCAAAACGAGUACAGGUUCGUAGGGAGAGAAACCUUAAUUUAAGAUCUCGUGGCACCCUCAGAAAGUACUUGCACAUUUUCACGAACUCACGAGGGCUGAGCAACUCCCCGAUUGAAAAAUCUGGGGUAUGGCCUUGCCCAACCCACGUCCCAGAUUGAAAAUUCUGGUAUAUGGCCUGGCCCAGCCCUGUUCCCUUGUCCCGGUCUGAUCGGGGCCGCAACAAAAGAAGUAAAAGAGAGCUGGGCCGGUCCAUAGUUGGGCAAGAGCUAGCACUACCCAAACAUAUUUUAAACAGUCCCCAUCCAGCACAUUUGGCCUAAGGCCACCAAACCAGCCUAAAACUCGGCCCGUGCAUCUCAAAAACUCAGAAAAGGCUGAUAACCUUCGAAUUGAUGGGAAAGUUUUUUAUGUUCUUCCACAAAGUAGAAGUUCUAUACUCUCCUUAUAGUCCAGCCCUCUAUUUUUUAUCAUGCGAACCACUCACCGAACCACUCACCGUUCCAAUGUUUCAAAGUAUUUUAUUGUUAAAUUUUUUAAUAUAAAUUUUUUCAAUAUGAAUUUUGGUACUUGUCAUCUUAUGGGGCGCAGCUAUAAAAUAUAUUAACAAUAAAUUUUUGAUAAAAAAUAAUGAUCAAAAUGCCUUUUAAAUUUUUAGAAGUAUUUUAGUCAUUUUAUUUUAUUGAAACUACUUUUUUUAUAUUUUUCUUUAGUGCAAGUUUAAUAGAAAAAUGGACGUCCAAAAUUUGGUGUCAAAACAAUUUAUAAAAAAAUAAAAUAAAAAUAAAUCAGUAUAGAUACGGGAUAGUGUGAUUGGGACAAUCUUAGCCUUCCUUUAAAAAAUGGACAAUUGGAUAAGGGAAGGAUAGAACUUUUAUGUUGCAGAGAAACAUAAAAAGUUUUUCUCAAAUUAAUUAUCUAGAUCUCGAUAAAAGAAAAAAAAAAAAAAACUUGAGUUUUAAAAAUAAUGCAUUUGGUCUAUUUCAAAGAUUUUUAAAAGUGUUUGGAUAUCGAUUUGAUCUACAUUAUCUUUUAAAUUUCAAAUUUCAUAAAUGAAAUAUAAAAAAAAAAAUUCAUGCUCUCAAAAGGGAUUUUGGACACUUGAAACUGUAUCUUUGGGCAUCAUUUCAAAAUACGCAUUGUUUUGAAUGUUUAAGGAGUCAACCUUAUAUUGACCUCACCCCUUACUUGAAAGAUAUAUUUUAGGGGAACGACUGGCUUUUCGACGCUUAUAGGUUAAAAUAAACAGAUUUCGUCUAUUUUUAUCACCGUUCAAAGUUUAUAGCACGGUCAUGAUUGUCUAGUAGUAUUUUAUUUUUCAUUUUUAUUCCACAAAUCAGAAUAACUUGAAAUUUGAAGUGUGUGUAUAUUUUAGUGAGACACACACUUAA